GUUUGUAAGAAGGCUGCUAUUAAGCAUCCAUUAGCAAUAGGAGUUCCUGCAGAAGUUACGAAAUCCAGGGUAUUUCCAAAUUUUGCCAACAGCAUGGCAGACUCCAAAAGCAUAUCUAGAGUCUGUGUAAACAGUGGCAGUUUUCCCUUUUGCUAAUGUGCAAGCUCUAGUAAGAGCUACGAGUUUAACAGCUUGGGCUGAUUUUACAGUGGGUAAAGAAUAAGCUUCAAGCGUUUCAUGCGGGGAAACUAUGGCAUAACCAGUUAUUAUGUUUCCCCAGAAAUUUCACUUACAGGAGCCAUCGGAAAACAGAAUAAUGGGCACAGGUUCUGCACUAAGCAACAAUCCACCUCAUUUGCAUGUGUAGCCCAGAGACUAAUUGGGACAUCUUAUAAAGACUCAUCUUCUUCAGAAGAACGUAAAUCAGGAUGCGUUUCUAGCAAGGAAAGUAGGAGACUUGGGGUUUGGUCAGAGGGCAAGGAGAUAAAAACAGCUUUUUCAUUACAAUUUAUAGUGGCAUUAAAUUUAGAUAAAUUUCUGCCAAAGAGGUUUGCUGGUGAACAUUCAUAGACCAGAAAGGCACGAUGAGUGUUAAGGGGGCCUAAAGAUCCUGGAGUGGGCUGAGAUACAGGCAGUGAAAUAGGCUGCCCAGAGACUCCCACAGCUUCAAUAGAUUCAGAGGUGACAGGUAGACAUAAAUCCUCCAAACGGAUAGUAGAGAAAGUCGCAUCAGUGUCAACUAAAGCAUCCAGUUCGUAAUCCUCUAAUUAAGGUUCAUGGUAGUCUCAGGGGUGCAACUGAGGACCGGCUGACCCCAUCAAUUUAGGGAGACAUGCCCCUCAAGAGGAGAAAAACGAGACGUCUGGGGGUUCUGGGGCCGAGUGGGGUAUUUUUCAAACUUUCCCUUCUCUUAAGAGCAGGACAUUCUCUUUCCCAAUGCCCUGAUUUCUUGCAAUACUUGCAAGUGUCUGGGGGCCAACAGGGAGGCCUCUGAGCGGGCUUUAGUUUACUCUCAGGGUUGC
rnacentral:lncRNA from 1 species